UAAAUGUCACUAUCAUGGUGACUCAGCAAGACAUUAACUUGAACUCACUUUUGACCACACAAUCAAGCAAGAUCAAAAUUUUCUCCUUAUCUUUUAGAGGCUUGGUGGACCCCUCUUCUCCCAUUUACCAAGUUCAUUUGCUUUUUGGCAAGUGUGAAAAGAGAGAAAAAGUUAGCGAAAAUUGAGAAAAGAAAGAAAGAGAAAGCAAAAAGAGCUCACAUUUCUUCUUCUUCCACCAUUAUAACCGCCACUUUUUUGCCUCUAGCACUAUCAUCUUCUCAUUUUCCUUAGCUUCAUUCAUCAAAGAGGAUUGAAGCUUAAAGAAAAUUCAAGUCGUCCCACAAGGGGGUCAUUUAGAAAAUAAAGAUUUAGAGGAAAAAACAUGUUUUGAUGAAGAAUUGAGGAUUCGCUGAGCAACAAUGGCAGUUAAAAAACCCAACCUUGAAGGAACCUGGCCACCCGGCGCCAAAAACAGGCCGCCUAGCGCCCUAUGCUGUGUUGUUUUCACUAUAAAAAGCUUCUUUUAAGAAGCUGAUGAGAUAACUUGAUCAGAACUUCGAUCCAUCACAGAGAAACAUUAGAGAAACAAGGAGAGAGGCUUAGGAGGCUAGAGAAGAAGCUCCGGAGGUUGGAUUCGGCGGCGACACAUCACGACGGUUUUGUUUUUUCUUGUUCUUCAUCUUCAUUUGUAAAUCUAUCCAUGAAAAUGGAUAGUUAAUCUUUCUUUUGUUGGAAUUUGAUAUAAUUGUGUGAUACUUAUGCUCUCUAUGUGAUUCUAUUCAAUAUAAAGCAUGUUUCUUGUUCA